rnacentral:rRNA from 1 species
AUUGAACGCUGGCGGCAGGCCUAACACAUGCAAGUCGAGCGAGCGGCGGACGGGUGAGUAAUGUCUGGGAAACUGCCUGAUGGAGGGGGAUAACUACUGGAAACGGUAGCUAAUACCGCAUACCAUCAGAUGUGCCCAGAUGGGCUUAGCUAGUAGGUGGGGUAACGGCUCACCUAGGCGACGAUCCCUAGCUGGUCUGACAGGAUGACCAGCCAAACUGGAACGGAGAACCGGUCCAGACUCCUACGGGAGGCAGCAGUGGGGAAUAUUGCACAAUGGGCGCAAGCCUGAGGCAGCCAUGCCGCGUGUAUGAAGAAGGCCUUCGGGUUGUAAAGUACUUUCAGCGGGGAGGCGUUACCCGCAGAAGAAGCACCGGCUAACUCCGGGCCAGCCGCCGCGGUAAUAC